GCCUUGGUGGCUCAGUUGGUUGAGCACCUAACUUCGGCUCAGGUCAUGAUCUCGUGGUUUGUGAGUUCAAGCCCCACAUCGGGCU
rnacentral:tRNA from 1 species